rnacentral:rRNA from 1 species
UACGUAGGGUCCGAGCGUUGUCCGGAAUUAUUGGGCGUAAAGGGCUCGUAGGCGGUUUGUCGCGUCUGCUGUGAAAACCCGAGGCUCAACCUCGGGCCUGCAGUGGGUACGGGCAGACUAGAGUGCGGUAGGGGAGAUUGGAAUUCCUGGUGUAGCGGUGGAAUGCGCAGAUAUCAGGAGGAACACCGAUGGCGAAGGCAGAUCUCUGGGCCGUAACUGACGCUGAGGAGCGAAAGCAUGGGAGCGAACAGG